AUACGUAGGUGGCAAGCGUUGUCCGGAAUUAUUGGGCGUAAAGCGCAUGUAGGCGGUUUGGUAAGUCGGUCGUGAAAAUGCGGUGCUUAACGCCGUAUGGCGAUCGAAACUGCUGAACUUGAGUGCAGGAGAGGAAAGGGGAACUCCCAGGGUAGCGGUGAAAUGGGUAUAGAUCGGGAGGAACACCAGUGGCGAAGGCGGGGAACUGGACGGCAACGGACGCUGAGGCGCGAAAGUGUGGGGAGCAAACAGGAUUAGAUACCCUGGUAGUCCCCACUGUAAACGAUGAAUGCUAGGUGUAAGAGGUAUCGACCCCUCUUGUGCCGGAGUUAACACAAUAAGCAUUCCGCCUGGGGAGUACGGCCGCAAGGUUGAAACUCAAAGGAAUUGGCGGGG
rnacentral:rRNA from 1 species